GACGAACGCUGGCGGCGUGCCUAAUACAUGCAAGUAGAACGCUGAAGAGAGGAGCUUGCUCUUCUUGGAUGAGUUGCGAACGGGUGAGUAACGCGUAGGUAACCUGCCUUGUAGCGGGGGAUAACUAUUGGAAACGAUAGCUAAUACCGCAUAACAAUGGAUGACCCAUGUCAUUUAUUUGAAAGGGGCAAAUGCUCCACUACAAGAUGGACCUGCGUUGUAUUAGCUAGUAGGUGAGGUAACGGCUCACCUAGGCGACGAUACAUAGCCGACCUGAGAGGGUGAUCGGCCACACUGGGACUGAGACACGGCCCAGACUCCUACGGGAGGCAGCAGUAGGGAAACUUCGGCAAUGGGGGCAAACCUGACCGAGCAACGCCGCGUGAGUGAAGAAGGUUUUCGGAUCGUAAAGCUCUGUUGUAAGUCAAGAACGAGUGUGAGAGUGGAAAGUUCACACUGUGACGGUAGCUUAACAGAAAGGGACGGCUAACUACGUG
rnacentral:rRNA from 1 species